GAUUUGGGAGUUGGGAGGUGAGAUGAUUGGAGUGAAGAGAGUUAAUGUCAUGGAAAGGAAAAGCUGUCUGAAGAAAAAUACACAUUUUAAUGUCCCUCUUCAGCCGUGCCUGCUGAGAGCUCUCCUGGGAUGAUAAGUGAAAGUGUUUGGAUUUUUUUUUAAGUUUUAAAACUCUGCCAAAGCAUUGCUCAGUGUAUCUGGGCAGCCCCUUCCGGCAAAACGCAGCAGUAGCAGAGGCAGCUUCUGAGAGCCUGGGCAGGCAGCAGCUGGCUGACCAAGUCCACUGGAAGAGAAGGCUUGUGCCAGCCGGGAGAAGGAAGCCGGGGACAGGAUGAAAGCAACAACACCUUUACAGACAGUCGACCGGCCCAAGGACUGGUACAAGACGAUGUUUAAGCAAAUUCACAUGGUGCACAAGCCGGGUCUGUACAACCCACCCUACAGUGCUCAGUCACACCCUGCUGCAAAGACCCAAACCUACAGACCUCUUUCCAAAAGCCACUCUGACAACAGCCCCAAUGCCUUUAAGGAUGUGUCCUCCCCAGUGCCUCCCCCACAUGUUCCACCUCCAGUCCCACCGCUUCGACCAAGAGAUCGGUCUUCAACAGAAAAGCAUGACUGGGAUCCUCCAGACAGAAAAGUGGACACAAGAAAAUUUCGGUCUGAGCCAAGGAGUAUUUUUGAAUAUGAACCUGGCAAGUCAUCAAUUCUUCAGCAUGAAAGACCACCCCCUCUCCCAACAACUCCGACACCUGUUCCAAGGGAACCUGGCCGGAAGCCUCUUUCUAGCUCCCGACUCGGAGAAGUCACUGGUAGCCCCUCCCCUCCGCCCCGGAGUGGCGCCCCCACACCAAGCUCGCGCGCCCCGGCUCUGUCUCCCACCCGGCCUCCUAAAAAGCCUCUGGACUAUGUUCAAGAUCAUUCUUCUGGUGUUUUCAAUGAGGCCUCCUUGUAUCAGUCCUCUAUAGACAGAAGCCUGGAAAGACCCAUGAGUUCUGCAAGCAUGGCCAGUGACUUCAGGAAGCGGAGGAAGAGCGAGCCUGCAGUGGGUCCACCACGGGGCUUGGGAGAUCAAAGUUCGAGCAGGACUAGCCCAGGCCGAGUGGACCUCCCAGGAUCAAGCACCUCUCUUACAAAGUCUUUCACUAGCUCUUCUCCUUCUUCCCCAUCAAGAGCAAAAGACCGUGAGUCCCCUAGAAGUUACUCAUCCACUUUGACUGACAUGGGGAGAAGUGCACCAAGGGAAAGAAGAGGAACUCCAGAAAAAGAGAAAUUGCCUGCAAAAGCUGUUUAUGAUUUUAAGGCUCAGACAUCUAAGGAGUUGUCAUUUAAGAAAGGAGAUACUGUGUACAUCCUCAGGAAAAUUGAUCAAAAUUGGUAUGAGGGAGAACACCACGGGAGAGUGGGCAUCUUCCCGAUCUCAUACGUAGAGAAACUCACGCCUCCUGAGAAAGCACAGCCUGCAAGACCACCUCCGCCAGCCCAGCCCGGAGAAAUCGGAGAAGCUAUAGCCAAAUACAACUUCAACGCAGACACAAAUGUGGAGCUGUCACUGAGAAAGGGAGAUCGAGUUAUUCUUCUUAAAAGAGUUGAUCAAAACUGGUAUGAAGGUAAAAUCCCAGGAACCAACAGACAAGGCAUCUUCCCUGUUUCCUAUGUGGAGGUCGUCAAGAAGAACACAAAAGGUGCUGAGGACUACCCUGACCCUCCAAUACCCCACAGCUAUUCUAGUGAUAGGAUUCACAGCUUGAGCUCAAAUAAGUUGGCUUCCAGUGAACCAGCCCCUCCUCCCACCCACAAAGUCUCACCUGGCUCAGAUAAAGGAGCUCUCCGGGGAACUGGCCAGGGCUGGUUGUCCCUGACAGCCUCAUGUCUACCAGCAAACCCUUUGGCCCCAACACCACCUCCUUUCCUGGACGACUCCUUGGGUGAAUUGGAGAAGCUUGGUGCUUUAACCUUGUCCGCUGACCAAGCCAAACCAACCAUCCUAGAGGACACCAUCCUGGAAAUUAAGGAGGAACCUGCUGUCCUCCUCCCAUUGUCCCCAGCGACUGCACCUGCCGAAUCACCUUCCACUCACGCGGGUGUGGCCUCGG
rnacentral:sRNA from 1 species